GCUCUUUUCACAAUCACGUGCCGUGAUGAC
rnacentral:piRNA from 1 species